rnacentral:lncRNA from 1 species
GAUGGAGUCAGGAGCUCCGUGAUCAGAUAGGAAGGAUUCGUGCGGUUCAGGCAGCUUGGAGGUGAAGCUCAGUCCGUUAGGAAACAACCCAGACUGCACCUUCCCCAAAGGGAAUGUCAGACUUGCCUCUAAAAGUCAGUAAAUCCAGCUGGUUAAUAAGCCUUUUGAGUCAUACGUGGUAAAAUCACCUCUUGGGGGGUUGGAAGAGUCACUUUUUCUGUUGUUAGCAUACAUCCUCUUGAAGUAGCUAAUAAAAUCAGAUAUUCCUGGGGAGUAGAAAUGUGAGUGGAGCUAGACUUGUGUAACGGAGUAACUUCUUCCUGUCUGCAAGGAAGAUGCUUGGCUGUCACCGUCAGCAUGUUGCCGGUGUGGUGGCCUGAGUGAGAACGUGCCCAUCUCAGUCCACCCACUGCGCACCUGCAGAAACCGUCUCAUGUUUAGCAGCUUUUUUUUUUUUUUUUUUUUUUUUUUUUAACUAUCUCACUUCAGGAAUAUCUUAUGCGAGUGCAUUCGCUCGCUUCUCCGUAGGAUGCAGUUACCGGGCACUAGCUCAUCUUUUCUUAAGGGGCCAGAUUAGCAGGCCUUGUGAGCCUAGGACUGAAAGCUGCUGUAACCAGUUUGUAAAUUCACGAACACACAACAGCCCUGAUGUAUUCCAGGAAAACUCUAUAUAUAAAACAGACAGCAGGCUGUACCUUGCUGUCACCUUUCUAGAAUUUCUGUUUGAGCAGAAAGAAAGAAAAAAAAAAAAAAAA